CCCGUUCCGUUGAAUUGAGCCGUGGCAAGAACGUCUGUUUACCGCGGUCUAAUCGUAGCCUGCGCCACAACGUGCUCACCGUCUCCGAGCCGAGGGCGAGAGCGGCGCCUGAACCUCGCUAGGGUUUACAUUUGUUCAUCUCGUUUCUCCUUCCCGUCUCUUCAUUUCAAGCCCGGACUAUUUAAUCUUCUCUCUCUCUCCCGGUCGCUCGCUUAAACGAGGCCUUAAACCCUAGGUCCCCUAGGAGGAGGAAGCGGUCUCUCGCCAUGGAUCUCGCUGAGGAGAUCCCGAACGCCGUGGGUGGGGAGUACGAGGUCGAGGAGGAGGUGGUGGUGGAAGAAGAGGUCGAGGAGGAGAUCGAAGAAGAGGUGGAGGAAGAGGAAGACGAAAUGGGAGGCGGCGGAGGAGGACGCGGUGGUGAUGGAGGAGGAGGAGAAGGGGAUGAGGAUGGAGAUGGGAGUGCGGAGUCUAAGGGAAAGAGGAAAGAUAAUAGUGGUGGCGAGGAGAUGAGGCAAGCCGAUGCCGGUUCGUCGUCAGCGGGAAAAAUCUUUGUGGGUGGUGUUGCUUGGGAUACUACAGAAGAUACCUUCAAUAAACAUUUCAGCAAGUAUGGGGAGAUCAUUGAUUCUGUGAUAAUGAAGGACAAGAACACACACAUGCCAAGAGGAUUUGGGUUUGUGACAUUUGCUGACCCAUCAGUAAUUGACAGGGUUUGGGAGGAUGAGCAUGUUAUAGAUGGGAGGACGGUCGAAGUUAAGAGAACGGUUCCAAGAGAAGAUAUGCCUUCAAAAGCAGGCAUCAAGACGAAAAAAAUCUUCGUGGGUGGAAUUCCCACUGCUUUAACCGAAGAUGAGUUGAAGGAACACUUCUCCUCGUAUGGUGAAGUGAUUGAACACCAAAUAAUGCUUGACCAUAGUACCCGGCGGUCAAGAGGCUUUGGUUUUGUCACUUUCAAAGAUGAGGAAGCUGUUGACAAGAUUAUCUCGGAGGGUAGGAUGCAUGAUCUUGCAGGGAAACAAGUUGAAAUCAAGAAGGCCGAGCCGAAGAGAUCAGGUGGCAGUUCCAGGAUGAAUGAGAGGGUUAGUCACGGUGGUAGUAACCGAAGUGCACGUGGAUACCGAGGAAACUCUUAUGGCUAUGGAAGUGAUCAUCCAUACGGUGAUGCCUAUUACGGUGGAGGCUCAGGCUAUGGUUAUGGCAGAGGCUAUAGCUACGGUGGUGUCCCAGGCUAUGGUGCAGCCUAUGGAUCCAACUACGGUGGGCCUAUGUAUGGAGUUGGCGGCUACGGUGGUGACAUGUACGGUGGCCCAGGUGGAUAUGGUGGGUGGUAUGAUGGUGGCCACGGCAGUGGACGAGGUUACGGGAACAGGUACCACCCCUAUGGCAAAUGAGAGCCGUGUCACCGACCACCAUCAAGGAUAUUUAUUCAAUCACUAGUGUAGUCAUAUUGUUGACUUCUAACAGUUGGACUCCUCGCGGCCGUUUCGUGUCCUUGGAGAACAGAUUGUCGCCCAUACAUCUUUGCAACCACAUAUCACUAAAAAGGGAGCUUGGCUUUCGGGUCAGAGAUUUCAUGUGAUGAUUUAAGUGAGCAGCUUAUGUGACAAAAAAUGUACUCGGUUGCCGUUACUGUAUUUAUCGGCACCGUGCCGCAAUGCUUUGGGCGUUAAGCCACUA